GCCAGGCACAGUGGCUCAUGCCUGUAAUCCUCACACUUUGGGAGGCUGAGGUAGAAUGAUCACUUGAGGCAAGGAGUUCUGGACCAUCCUGGCCAACAUGGCGAAAUCCCGUUUCUACCAAAAAUACAAAAAUUAGCCAGGCGUGGUGGUGCAUGCCUGUAAUCCCAGCUACUAGGGAGGCUGAGGCAGGAGGAUUGCUUGAACCCAGAAGGUGGAGGUUGUAGUGAACCAAGAUCGUGCCAGUGCACUCCAGCCUGGGUGACAGAGUGAGACUCUGUCUCA
rnacentral:sRNA from 1 species